rnacentral:rRNA from 1 species
GACGAACGCUGGCGGCGUGCCUAACACAUGCAAGUCGAGCGAUGAAAUUAGAAACGGAGUCUUCGGACGAAGUGGAAAAUGGAUUAGCGGCGGACGGGUGAGUAACACGUGAGCAACCUGCCUAUCACAUCGGGAUAGCCUCGGGAAACUGGGAUUAAUACCGAAUGAAACAUAAUCACUGCCUAGUGGAAAUGUCAAAGAUUUAUCGGUGAAAGAUGGGCUCGCGUCUGAUUAGCUAGUUGGUGAGGUAAUGGCUCACCAAGGAGACGAUCAGUAGCCGGCCUGAGAGGGUGAACGGCCACAUUGGGACUGAGACACGGCCCAAACUCCUACGGGAGGCAGCAGUGGGGAAUAUUGCACAAUGGAGGGAACUCUGAUGCAGCGACGCCGCGUGAGCGAUGAAGGCUUUCGAGUCGUAAAGCUCUGUCGAAUGGGAAGAUAAUGACGGUACCAUUUGAGAAAGCCCCGGCUAACUCCGUGCCAGCCGCCGCAGUAAUAC